AUGCCCUACACCAGUCGUGUGGUGGAGAGAGGCUCUUCUCACAGCUUCAUAGCCAAAGCCAGACCGCCCACCGUCACCAUGCCCAGAAUUAAGAAUGCUCGACACAAUGAACACUGCAUGCCCUCCAGUGUAAGAGCAUGAGGCAGACCGCUGGUUGCUGUGUCGCUGCUGCUGAUGUCAUGACAUCCUGGUGAACGGAGCUCGCGGUCAAACGUCUGGGUCACUGUGAGCACUUCUGUCAUCACUUCUGUGAGGAGUUUCAAUGACUUUAUACUCAAAUCAAACGCAACGGAGGGCUGAAAUGUAAUUAUUAAAUAAACCAUAAUUUACCCAGAAUUCUCCCUGAAAUUCCACAGCGACUUUGAAAUAUAGAUGCUUCAUGUUAAAAGAUUUUUUAUUGGCAGUGCUUGGUUCAUUUUAAGCAUAAUAUGAAAAUAUAGUUGUGAAAAAUGACUCCGUGUUGCUGCUGUGGUCAUUUUAGGAAGUUUCAUGUAAAUACGCAGAUUUUUUGCUGAUUUUUUGCAGAUAUUUUGAUAUUGAAGACAGAGCUCUUUUUUCUUUUAGUUUUCUCUCUCUCUUAGCUUUUAUUUUUAUUAUUGAAGCUAUAAUUUUAUUGUAUGCUUUUUUCGUUUUUAAAAUAUUUUUAUUUAGCUUUUAUUUUUUUUUAUUUCAGUUAUAGUAAUUUGAGUUCUUAAACUUAAGGUCAGCAUUCCUAAUUUUCGCUUAAGCUUUCAGUUUUUCAGCUAUUUAUUGCUAUUUUUUUUCCAAGUAACAAAAAUGAUUUGUAAUCAUUUUAGCUUUAGAUUUAGUUAACUAUAACAACAUUGAUCACAGCAUUUUUGUGAUUCGAGUCCAAUCAAAGAUUCGUGGGUGAUCUAUUCCUUUGAUUAUAGUAUUUGACAAGCCAAUUGAACAACUGGAAAAACUACAUUUUUAGGGCCCUACGCAAUUUUUAUACAUUUAAAUUUUUUCUACAAAUUCUGUUUUAUGUUUCCCAAAUUCUGAAAGGUUUAUUUUAUUUUCCUGCACAGAUAAGCUCUUGGCUUACAGGGUUUCUGCCUGCUAUGUUAAUGCUGUAAAGAAAAAUGCUGCUUCUGUCCUACUUUUCAUGUCUCCAGUCAUCAGGAUUGACAUGUGAAGAGGUGGGAUGUAUUUCCAAACUGCAAAUCGGCCUGUCUGGAGGCGGAAUUCAUCAAUCAGCAUCACAGAAAGAGUGUUAAAUAAAAAACA
rnacentral:lncRNA from 1 species